CAAACCUACAGAAAUCAUUUCUCCCAAACUAUGUGAACUAGAUGUUGCCUUUUCUAAUGUUCUUAUUAUCAAAUUGUUUAAGCUUUUCUACUCUUGGUCUUGAUAUGUUAUUUCUGUGCAGCUUUAAGGACUCAAUACUUACACUGACAAGACAUUCUGAUGUACAGGUUCAUCACAUUGCAAGAACCUUCCGAGAUAGAUGGAUUUCCCUUUACAGCAGAAGGUUUAGCAACUUUGACAGAGAUGAUAGCAAGUUGGAGCCCCAUUACGGGCUGAAUAGCAAUUGGUUUGCAUCAUCAUAUAAAGGUUGGCAUGACCAAGGCCUGAGGCCUUCAGAAGUAAUCAAUUGCAUUAGUCCAGCAACAGUUGCACAAACUCCUGUUGAAACUAAUACACAGGAGGGCAGUUCUGAACCUCCUGUUGGCAGCUGCCCAGUUAGUGGGACAAGGAAACGCAAGCGUAAGAGUCGCUGGGAUCAGCCUGCAGAGGUGAAAGACAAUCCACCACCUCAGCAUAGUGAAGGGAAAAUUGAGCCAAGUUCAGGACAGGAAAUGGAUCCAAGCCCACAGAAGCUUGAUAUCGGUGAGACAGUGCAGGACCAGGUAAUCAAUGUUAACAAAGGAAAAAGCGCAUGCAAUGUAUGCGGUCAAAAACUUCCUCGGCAAGGUGAAGCUACUACUAUGGUUGAUGCAGUGCAGAACAUCCAAGAUGUGCCACCUGGGUUUUUACCUCGUCCUAAUGGUCCACCAGUUCCAUCCAAUGUUGGUGCAGCUGAUACUGUGUGUCUUUACCCACAUAUUGCUAUCCCUUCAAGCUGUGGUUUUGAAGUGAUUACAGGACAUACCCAGAAGAAGUUCCUUCCUCACUUGCCUGUGUCAUAUGGUAUACAACUCCCGCUUGUACAGCAGUUGGGAAUGCUCCAGAGAGGAACUAUUGACUGUUGGUCAAUUGCACCAGGUGUUCCUUUCCAUCCCUUCCCACCGUUACCUCCAUUCCCGCGUGAGAAAAGCAAUCCUCUAUCCUCACCACCUUCUCAUGUUCCUAUGGUGAUGGAUGGACAUGGAGGAGUCCAGCAGCCCAGCCACUGUGUGGCAGCGCAUAGCAUGGAUCGAAACAUUCUGUGUACAUCAGGGGCUAGACCAGAUGUGUCAGUUGCCCGAGAAAAUAACCAGAAUUAUUUAGUGAAUGAUUCAUCGUAUGGCUUCGGGAGGAGGUGCGUCAAUCAGAAGAAUUGGAAUGAUCAUGUAACCCCAGGGUUGCCCUGGAAAAGGAAUGAUUUGGGGUUCAAUGGAAACAACUAAAGAAACGGAGUGUGCAGUAUAGGAUUAGGACAUGUAGGAAAUGAGAUUCGGGGUCAUAGUAAUUCACAAGGUGUAAACAAUGGAAGCGAGGAUGUUCACUCUUCUUUCCAUCAGCAUACACAACAUGUUCACAAUGUAUAAACAAUGGAAGCGAGGAUGUUUGCUCUUCUUUCCAUCAACAUACAAAACAUGUUCACAAGGUGUAAACAAUGGAAGCAAGGAUGGUUGCUCUUCUUUCCAUCAACAUACCCAUGUUCACAAGGUGUAAACAAUGGAAGUGAGGAUGUUUGCUCUUAUUUCCAUCAACAUAUACAACACCAAUAUCAACAUUGAUUUAAACAAAAGCUGAAUAUCAAGAGAAAGAAGAGGGGAAGUUUCUGUGAGUCCAAUAGUCCAAGCCAUCUGCGGUUGUGACAGGUAUGUGUACACUUUUUUGUGCUUAUCUGAAAAUUGAUAAGAUCGGCAACCUUAAAGUUCACAAACUCUAUCGUUUUCAGAGAGAGAGAGAGAGAGUUGAUUCUGAAACCCCUUCCUCUUGCUCUAAUGGACACUGAAGCAAGU